rnacentral:rRNA from 1 species
CCUGCACCUGCCGGCGACCGGCGCACGGGUGAGUAACACGUAUGGAACCUGCCCGCCACAGGGGGAUAACCCGGGGAAACCCGGCCUAAUACCCCAUGCCGCCCGGACCGGGCAUCCGGUCCGGGCGAAAGGAGGAAUCCGGUGGCGGCUGGGCAUGCGGCGCAUUAGCUUGACGGCGGGGUAACGGCCCACCGUGGCGACGAUGCGUAGGGGUUCUGAGAGGAAGGCCCCCCACCACUGGAACUGAGACACGGUCCAGACUCCUACGGAAGGCAGCAG